AUUUAUAUAGUUUAAAAAAAACAUUAUAUUUUCAUUAUAAAAAUAAGUUUAAUUUAUAAAUA
rnacentral:tRNA from 1 species